GACGAACGCUGGCGGCGUGCUUAACACAUGCAAGUCGAACGGAAAGGCCCUGCUUGCAGGGUACUCGAGUGGCGAACGGGUGAGUAACACGUGGGUGAUCUGCCCUGCACUUCGGGAUAAGCCUGGGAAACUGGGUCUAAUACCGGAUAUGACCUUCCAUGUAGUGUGGGGGGUGGAAAGAUUUAUCGGUGUGGGAUGAGCCCGCGGCCUAUCAGCUUGUUGGUGGGGUAAUGGCCUACCAAGGCGUCGACGGGUAGCCGGCCUGAGAGGGUGGACGGCCACAUUGGGACUGAGGUACGGCCCAGACUCCUACGGGAGGCAGCAGUGGGGAAUAUUGCACAAUGGGCGGAAGCCUUAUGCAGCGACGCCGCGUGGGGGAUGACGGCCUUCGGGUUGUAAACCUCUUUCGACAGGGACGAAGCUUCGGUGACGGUACCUGUAUAAGAAGCACCGGCUAACUACGUG
rnacentral:rRNA from 1 species